UACGUAGGGACCAAGCGUUGUUCGGAUUUACUGGGCGUAAAGGGCGCGUAGGCGGCUUAACAAGUCACUUGUGAAAUCUCCGGGCUUAACUCGGAACGGCCAAGUGAAACUGUCAAGCUAGAGUGCAGAAGGGGCAAUCGGAAUUCUUGGUGUAGCGGUGAAAUGCGUAGAUAUCAAGAGGAACACCUGAGGUGAAGACAGCCCCCUGGGCUAACACUGACGCUCAUGCACGAAAGCGUGGGGAGCAAACAGG
rnacentral:rRNA from 1 species